rnacentral:rRNA from 1 species
GAUGAACGCUGGCGGCGUGCCUAAUACAUGCAAGUCGAGCGAACAGAUAAGGAGCUUGCUCCUUUGGCGUUAGCGGCGGACGGGUGAGUAACACGUGGGUAACCUACCUAUAAGACUGGGAUAACUUCGGGAAACCGGAGCUAAUACCGGAUAAUAUUUCGAACCGCAUGGUUCGAUAGUGAAAGAUGGUUUUGCUAUCACUUAUAGAUGGACCCGCGCCGUAUUAGCUAGUUGGUAAGGUAACGGCUUACCAAGGCGACGAUACGUAGCCGACCUGAGAGGGUGAUCGGCCACACUGGAACUGAGACACGGUCCAGACUCCUACGGGAGGCAGCAGUAGGGGAUCUUCCGCAAUGGGCGAAAGCCUGACGGAGCAACGCCGCGUGAGUGACGAAGGUCUUCGGAUCGUAAAACUCUGUUAUUAGGGAAGAACAUACGUGUAAGUAACUGUGCACGUCUUGACGGUACCUAAUCAGAAAGCCACGGCUAACUACGUG